GCGGAUUGGCUCCCUCCGGGCGCAGGGACCCCAGCGGAGGCGAUCUGCGAAGUUCGCACGUGGUAUGGAAAGUUCUUGUUGGCCGCCGAUGGGCGGGUCAUGAUCUGAAAGAAGUCAGACACAGGUGAGAAGGCCAAGGGCUGGUCUGGGACUGCACCGUUUGGAAGCUUCGGAGCUGGGCUCUACACCCCGGCAGUCUGGCUCGGAAUCUGCCCCCUUUACAUGAACACGGUCGGUCAGUCGGUCGGUUUGGAGUUUUAUUUGAAGAAUUCCUUUUAUGACUGCAUGUGUAUGCCUCCACCUUCCAAGGCCUGACAUUAUAGACAUUCACUAGCAUGCCUGGCUAUUAACCGAGAUGUUAUUAAACAUUUAUUGUGUGACAUUAAA